AACAAACCAUCGCGAAUCUUACCCGUACGGUUGCCUCGGCGCUGGCGGUCCGGAAGGCUCUCGGGCCCCCCGGAUCCUCGGGUCUCCCGCUCGCGGGAGGCUGCCCGCCGGAGUGCCGAAACCAAACUCUUGAUAUUUUAUGUCUCUCUGAGUAAACUUUUAAAUAAGUCAAAACUUUCAACAACGGAUCUCUUGGUUCUGGCAUCGAUGAAGAACGCAGCGAAAUGCGAUAAGUAAUGUGAAUUGCAGAAUUCAGUGAAUCAUCGAAUCUUUGAACGCACAUUGCGCUCGCCAGUAUUCUGGCGAGCAUGCCUGUUCGAGCGUCAUUUCAACCAUCAAGCUCUGCUUGCGUUGGGGAUCCGCGUCUGACGCGGUCCCUCAAAAACAGUGGCGGGCUCGCUAGUCACACCGAGCGUAGUAACUCUACAUCGCUAUGGUCGUGCGGCGGGUUCUUGCCGUAAAACCCCCAAUUUCUAAGGUUGACCUCGGAUCAGGUAGGAAUACCCGCUGAACUUAAGCAUAUCAAUA
rnacentral:rRNA from 1 species